AUUGAACGCUGGCGGCAGGCCUAACACAUGCAAGUCGAGCGAGCGGCGGACGGGUGAGUAAUGUCUGGGAAACUGCCUGAUGGAGGGGGAUAACUACUGGAAACGGUAGCUAAUACCGCAUACCAUCAGAUGUGCCCAGAUGGGACUAGCUUGUAGGUGAGGUAACGGCUCACCCAGGCGACGAUCCCUAGCUGGUCUGAGAGGAUGACCAGCCACACUUGAACUGAGACACGGUCCAGACUCCUACGGGAGGCAGCAGUGGGGAAUCUUGCACAAUGGGCGCAAGCCUUGUGCAGCCAUGCCGCGUGUAUGAAGAAGGCCUUCGGGUUGUAAAGUACUUUCAGCGGGGAGGCGUUACCCGCAGAAGAAGCACCGGCUAACUCCGUGCCAGCAGCCGCGGUAAUAC
rnacentral:rRNA from 1 species